CCUACGGGAGGCAGCAGUGAGGAAUAUUGGUCAAUGGACGAGAGCCUGAACCAGCCAAGUAGCGUGAAGGAUGACUGCCCUACGGGUUGUAAACUUCUUUUAUAUGGGAGUAAAAUGGUCCACGUGUGGGAUUUUGUAUGUAACAUAUGAAUAAGGAUCGGCUAACUCCGUGCCAGCAGCCGCGGUAAUACGGAGGAUCCGAGCGUUAUCCGGGUUUAUUGGGUUUAAAGGGGGCGUAGGGGGAUUGUUAAGUGAGUUGUGAAAGUUUGGGGCUCAACCGUAAAAUUGCAGUUGAAACUGGCAGUCUUGAGUACAGUAGAGGUAGGCGGAAUUCGUGGUGUAGCGGUGAAAUGCUUAGAUAUCACGAAGAACUCCGAUUGCGAAGGCAGCUCACUGGACUGCAACUGACACUGAGGCUCGAAAGUGUGGGUAUCAAACAGGAUUAGAUACCCUGGUAGUC
rnacentral:rRNA from 1 species